AGUAAAGUCAGCUAGUUAAGCUCUUGGGCCCAUACCCCAAACAUGUUGGUUAAAAUCCUUCCUUUACUA
rnacentral:tRNA from 2 species